rnacentral:rRNA from 1 species
UACGUAGGGUGCAAGCGUUGUCCGGAAUUAUUGGGCGUAAAGAGCUCGUAGGCGGUUUGUUGCGUCGGCUGUGAAAUCCCGAGGCUCAACCUCGGGUCUGCAGUCGAUACGAGCAAACUAGAGUGUUGCAGGGGGAGACUGGAAUUCCUGGUGUAGCGGUGAAAUGCGCAGAUAUCAGGAGGAACACCGGUGGCGAAGGCGGGUCUCUGGGCCGAUACUGACGCUGAGGAGCGAAAGCGUGGGGGAGCGAACAGG